AACGAACGCUGGCGGCAUGCCUAAUACAUGCAAGUCGAACGAGACCUUCGGGUCUAGUGGCGCACGGGUGCGUAACGCGUGGGAACCUGCCCUUAGGUUCGGAAUAACUCCCCGAAAGGGGUGCUAAUACCGGAUAAUGUCUUCGGACCAAAGAUUUAUCGCCUUUGGAUGGGCCCGCGUUGGAUUAGCUAGUUGGUAGGGUAAAAGCCUACCAAGGCGACGAUCCAUAGCUGGUCUGAGAGGAUGAUCAGCCACACUGGGACUGAGACACGGCCCAGACUCCUACGGGAGGCAGCAGUGGGGAAUAGUGGACAAUGGGCGAAAGCCUGAUCCAGCAAUGCCGCGUGAGUGAUGAAGGCCUUAGGGUUGUAAAGCUCUUUUACCCGGGAUGAUAAUGACAGUACCGGGAGAAUAAGCUCCGGCUAACUCCGUG
rnacentral:rRNA from 1 species